AGAGUUUGAUCAUGGCUCAGGAUGAACGCUGGCGGUAUGCCUAACACAUGCAAGUCGAACGAUGUCUUCGGACAUAGUGGCGGACGGGUGAGUAACGCGUGAGAAUCUGCCUCUAGGAUGGGGAUAACGGUUGGAAACGACCGCUAACACCCAAUAUGCCGUAAGGUGAAAAAUUUAUUGCCUGGAGAGGAGCUCGCGUCUGAUUAGCUAGUUGGUGGGGUAAGAGCUCACCAAGGCUUCGAUCAGUAGCUGGUCUGAGAGGAUGAGCAGCCACACUGGGACUGAGACACGGCCCAGACUCCUACGGGAGGCAGCAGUGGGGAAUUUUCCGCAAUGGGCGAAAGCCUGACGGAGCAAUACCGCGUGAGGGAGGAAUGCCUUUGGGUUGUAAACCUCUUUUCUCAGGGAAGAAGAUCUGACGGUACCUGAGGAAUAAGUAUCGGCUAACUCCGUGCCAGCAGCCGCGGUAAUACGGAGGAUGCAAGCGUUAUCCGGAAUCAUUGGGCGUAAAGCGUCCGCAGGUGGUUUCCAAAGUCUGCUGUUAAAGACUGGAGCUCAACUCCGGAACGGCGGUGGAAACUUGGAAACUAGAGUUCGGUAGGGGUAGCAGGAAUUCCCAGUGUAGCGGUGAAAUGCGUAGAUAUUGGGAAGAACAUCGGUGGCGAAGGCGUGCUACUGGACCGUAACUGACACUCAGGGACGAAAGCUAGGGGAGCGAAAGGGAUUAGAUACCCCUGUAGUCCUAGCUGUAAACGAUGGAAACUAGGUGUGGCUNGUAUCGACCCGAGCCGUGCCGUANCUAACGCGUUAAGUUUCCCGCCUGGGGAGUACGCACGCAAGUGUGAAACUCAAAGGAAUUGACGGGGGCC
rnacentral:rRNA from 1 species